rnacentral:rRNA from 1 species
AGCAGCCGCCGCGGGAAUACGUAGGUGGCAAGCGUUGUCCGGAAUUAUUGGGCGUAAAGCGCGCGCAGGCGGCCUAUCCAGUCUGUCUUAAAAGUUCGGGGCUCAACCCCGUGAUGGGAUGGAAACUAGUAGGCUAGAGUAUCGGAGAGGAAAGCGGAAUUCCUAGUGUAGCGGUGAAAUGCGUAGAUAUUAGGAAGAACACCAGUGGCGAAGGCGGCUUUCUGGACGAAAACUGACGCUGAGGCGCGAAAGCCAGGGGAGCGAACGGGAUUAGAUACCCGCGUAGUCCCUGUCUCUUAUACA